CUCAGCCCUGGGUCCCCACAGGCAGGCCUCUCCCCUGUACCCGCAGCUGCCAGCUCCCCUUACCUCCAGGUCAGCCUUGCUGGGGGAACCUGGGAACGGAGCCUGAAAGUCUGGGAGUCAGAACCGAGUCCCAGGGACACUCUGGGAGGGGCUCCUAAUCCCAGGCCUCCCUGCCCCCAAGUGCCGAAGAUGUGCUGUGUGCAGAAGGUGUGUGGUCCAUGCGCCCAGCUGGGCAUGUGUGAGUGUGUUUGGGGGAAGGGUGGGUGUCAGAAGCGUGUCUGGAGCCCCAACCGCCAGCACAGAGCCCCAGUCCCUGGUAUCUCUGCACAUGUCCUUGUCAUUUCACUCACUUAGAGGGUGGCCUUUGGGGAGACAGGGCUUCCCCUGUUCCCAGGUCUAGAUUACUGACCCAGGAAUCUGCUCCCGUCCCA
rnacentral:lncRNA from 1 species